rfam:Triticum aestivum genome assembly, contig: Triticum_aestivum_CS42_TGACv1_scaffold_131053_2BL
AUACUACUCCCUCCGUCCGGAAAUACUUGUCGGAGAAAUAGAUGAAAAUGGGUGUAUCUAGAACUAAAUUGUGUCUAGAUACAUUCGUUCCUUCGACAAGUAUUUUUGGACGGAGGGAGUACUCC